GUGAGCCCGAAAAGGAGCCACAGCCCGGGCUCCAUGAACCCCAUCAGGCACCGGAGCACCUUGCCUGGAGGAGGGCCGCCUGAGGCCGAGAAAGGGCCAUGAGGAAGCCAAACCAGCCCUCCAGAGAGACUCCACGGAGCAACCUGCACGGAGAGAAACAGCCUGGCAGCCGACAGCCAAAGCCAGCCACUGGGAACAGCUUAUUUGAGAUCCCAUCACUUUCCACUGGAAAACUCUGGCCUUCAGAACAUUCCCGGCUCUCAUGGACUCCAGGCAAAGAUGCCUACAAAGGAAACAUAAUUCACUGAUUCGGUGACCAGCUGGUGAUAAGGAUUUUAAUCAUUGUUUGACUCAAAAACUUUAAAGUAACUGACCUGCUAUUGCACAGUUGUUAAAUGGAUUCAAAUUCCUCUCUGUCUCAUUCCAGGGACAGAGUUCGUAACCAUUAGACAGGGCUGCCCCUUGAGCUCAGAUUCUGCGUGUACAAUGGUUCCUGCUUUCUCCUGGGUGCAGUUCCUGUGUCAUUACCUGUCCAUCCGUGGUGGAGUCUCACUAUUCCCACCGUCUCUGAUGGAAGGUCAUGCAGAGGAGCCAAGACCAGGAGUCCCUCCUACAGAGGACACUAACCAUAGUCUUUCUCCUCCACCAAAGCCUGCCAACAUUCCUUGAUCUCCUUCAUUGCAUCUGCUGAGCAACAUGGCCCCAAGAGGAACCAGAUAGGAUGCGUGUGAGCCCCGGCCCCGUGCAUGGUUUGGUCACCAAGUUUAUUUUUCAUCCACUUUUUCCGAGUCGGCAGAUGUGUGUCUGUUACUUCAAGACUGUGCCUCGCGCUGAUAUUUUGAUUCAAAACCCAGCCGUGAAGACUGCUGCAGCUGAGCCCAGCUAAGCGUCCCUGCAAGUCGUCCCUUCAUGUGCUUUAUGACUCUUUUGAAGAUUGUUUUCUCUUAAGUUUAGGGGAUUUAAGGGGCAGUAACAAUACAGUAUGUAGUUUUCCAUUGUCCCAGAAUUUCUUCCUCCCACCCACCCUGACCAUCGGACGCUUUGAACUUCCUCAGAAACAAGAACAAUUAAGUGCUUUUCCACAUUUCUCCUGUCUUAGCAAUGCACCCCAAUCAGCACGCAGCUCACUGUGAGUCACAGGAGGAGGCACCACACUCCACAUUCAUUGCUUUAAAAAAUGACAUUAAUUGUAAUGAAAGUUUCUGGUGAAAUAAAAUG